UGGGGAAUUUUGGACAAUGGGGGAAACCCUGAUCCAGCCAUCCCGCGUGUGCGAUGAAGGCCUUCGGGUUGUAAAGCACUUUUGGCAGGAAAGAAACGUCAUGGGUUAAUACCCCGUGAAACUGACGGUACCUGCAGAAUAAGCACCGGCUAACUACGUGCCAGCAGCCGCGGUAAUACGUAGGGUGCAAGCGUUAAUCGGAAUUACUUGGCGUAAAGCGUGCGCAGGCGGUUCUGAAAGAAAGAUGUGAAAUCCCAGAGCUCAACUUUGGAACUGCAUUUUUAACUACCGGGCUAGAGUGUGUCAGAGGGAGGUGGAAUUCCGCGUGUAGCAGUGAAAUGCGUAGAUAUGCGGAGGAACACCGAUGGCGAAGGCAGCCUCCUGGGAUAACACUGACGCUCAUGCACGAAAGCGUGGGGAGCAAACAGG
rnacentral:rRNA from 1 species